CAGGUCUUCAGCUGCAUCAUGUGGGAUCUUGCGCUGCAGGGCAAAGUCUCUUCAGUUGCUGCACGUGGGCCCAAUAGUAGCGGUUCACCUUUCAUAUCUUCAGGGCAGCAUAAGCCAGCUUCUGCAGCCCCAGCUUACUACCCCCAUGGUCCCCGGCCAGCCCGUUUAUUCCCUAUCCUGAUCUCUGACAGUCUUCACCACUUACUGACAAAAGUUCAUAUAAAACAAAACACGCUGGGGACGAAAAUCUCCGGCAAGGCGCCUGGGAAACAGCGGAAAAACAAACAUACCAAACCACACCAGUUAAAUUGGAAAAUAAUCCAUUUAGGCUGACUUUCAGAACUAGCC